CAGAAAGACCCUAUGAAGCUUUACUGUAGCCUGGAAUUGGCUUCGGGCUCUUCUUGCGCAGCUUAGGUGGAAGGCUGAGAUCGCGUUCUUCCGGGAACGCAGGAGCCAUCAGUGAGAUACCACUCUGGAAGAGCUAGAAGUCUAAUGGCGAUCCUUGAAUCAGGACGCUUGACAGUUUCAGGUGGGCAGUUUUACUGGGGCGGUAGCCUCCUAAAAGGUAACGGAGGCGUGCAAAGGUUUCCUCAGGCUGGACGGAAAUCAGCUGUAGAGUGCAAAGGCAAAAGGGAGCUUGACUGCAAGACCUACAAGUCGAGCAGGGACGAAAGUCGGCCUUAGUGAUCCGACGAUGCCGUGUGGAAGGGUCGUCGCUCAACGGAUAAAAGUUACUCUAGGGAUAACAGGCUGA
rnacentral:rRNA from 1 species